AUAUCUACCUGGCAGGGGAGAUACCAUGAUCACCAAGGUGGUCUUCCCAGGGCGAGGCUUAUCCAUUGCACUCCGGAUGUGCUGACUCUUGCGAUUUCUCCAAAUGUGAGAAACUCGACAGCACAAUUUGUGGGAGUGCAUGAUGGGGGGUGUGGUCGUGCAGCAUGUA